rnacentral:rRNA from 1 species
CAUGAAGCUGGAUUCGCUAGUAAUCGCGCAUCAGCCACGGCGCGGUGAAUACGUUCCCGGGCCUUGUACACACCGCCCGUCAAGCCAUGGGAGCCGGGGGUGCCUGAAGGCCGUGACCGCGAGGAGCGGCCUAGGGUAAAACUGGUGACUGGGGCUAAGUCGUAACAAGGUAUC